GAUCAUGGCUCAGGAUGAACGCUAGCUACAGGCUUAACACAUGCAAGUCGAGGGGCAGCAUGGGAUUAGCUUGCUAAUCCUGAUGGCGACCGGCGCACGGGUGAGUAACGCGUAUCCAACCUUCCUCCUACUCAGGCAUAGCCCGGUGAAAACCGGAUUAACUCCUGAUAGUUUCACUAGAUGGCAUCUGACGGUGAAUAAAGCUUUGCGGUAAGGGAUGGGGGAUGCGUCUGAUUAGCUUGUUGGCGGGGUAACGGCCCACCAAGGCGACGAUCAGUAGGGGUUCUGAGAGGAAGGUCCCCCACAUUGGAACUGAGACACGGUCCAAACUCCUACGGGAGGCAGCAGUGAGGAAUAUUGGUCAAUGGGCGCGAGCCUGAACCAGCCAAGUAGCGUGCAGGAAGACGGCCCUAUGGGUUGUAAACUGCUUUUGUGCGGGAAUAAAGUCAGGGACGUGUCCCUGUUUGCAUGUACCGCAAGAAUAAGGACCGGCUAAUUCCGUGCCAGCCGCCGC
rnacentral:rRNA from 1 species